UACGUAGGCAGCGAGCGUUGUUCGGAAUUACUGGGCGUAAAGAGUGUGUAGGCGGUGCUCUAAGUUCGGUGUGAAAUCUCCUGGCUCAACUGGGAGGGUGCGCCGGAAACUGGAGUGCUUGAGCGUGGGAGAGGAAAGCGGAAUUCCUGGUGUAGCGGUGAAAUGCGUAGAGAUGUGGAGGAAUACCGAUGGCGAAGGCAGCCCCCUGGGUCAAUACUGACGCUCAUGCACGAAAGCGUGGGGAGCAAACAGG
rnacentral:rRNA from 1 species